GUGUAGUAAAAUUGUUAACAUGUAAAAAUAUUUAAUAAAUAAAAUACUUGGUCAAUACAAAGACACAUCUAUCUAUAUAUAUGUGUCUCUGAUCGAUACCAUUAACAUUUUGUUUUAGAUGAUCUGUGAUGAUCAACAGGCCAGCUUUCUACACGUAUCUAUAACCAUAAUUAUCACUGGUGAUUCAAUAAUCGAUUGAAAUAUAAUAACGUUAUUAUUUUCUGUUACCUUGAUAACGUGCCUAUGUAACAGAGGGAAUAUUAAUUAUUCGUAUUAUUGGGAAUUAGGCCAGUUGUAAUUUGAGACAACACGCUAGUUGUACUAAAAGGUCCUAGGGAACAAUAAUUAUAUAUUAGGUUAACGACCUUACAAGUACAUUAAUGUACCAAACCAGUAAUUGAUAUAGCUGAAUAAUGGACACUUCUGAUCUAACAAUUCGCCAAAACAUCUGCAAAUUUAUAUAAAAUGGCGCUUUAUAGGACACGGACCACCUUUUCCUUUUUCUAUUUAUUUCGGUCGUUAUUUUUUAUGGUAAAUGUGAUUCAUCACUUUUACUUAUUUUUCACAUAUUUAAAGACUUGUGCUUAUCCAAUAUUAUUGACAGUAAGAACUUUAUAAAUGGAUUAUGAAAUUUCCUGUUUACAAAAUAAGAUAUACAGUAUAACAGAUACUAUUUAUAAUCGGACAAAUACAGCGAUUUAUUGUAUAUGUAUUG
rnacentral:lncRNA from 1 species